GGUAGGGUGGCCGAGUAUUAGGCGGCGGUUUGUAGCACCGUGUACAGAGGUUCAAGUCCUUUUUCUACCA
rnacentral:tRNA from 1 species